CAAAUACUCUCUCCGUUCGGAAUUAGUUGUCGAAAAAAUGGAUGUAUUUAGACGUAUUUUAGUUCUAGAUACAUCUAUUUCCGAGACAAGUAAUUCCGAACUGAUGGAGUAGUAU
rnacentral:pre_miRNA from 1 species